UCCUGGCUCAGAUUGAACGCUGGCGGCAUGCCUUACACAUGCAAGUCGAACGGCAGCGGACCUUCGGGUGCCGGCGAGUGGCGAACGGGUGAGUAAUAUAUCGGAACGUACCUUUCAGUGGGGGAUAACGUAGCGAAAGUUACGCUAAUACCGCAUAUUCUGUGAGCAGGAAAGCAGGGGAUCGCAAGACCUUGCGCUGAUUGAGCGGCCGAUAUCAGAUUAGCUAGUUGGUGAGGUAAAGGCUCACCAAGGCGACGAUCUGUAGCGGGUCUGAGAGGAUGAUCCGCCACACUGGAACUGAGACACGGUCCAGACUCCUACGGGAGGCAGCAGUGGGGAAUUUUGGACAAUGGGCGCAAGCCUGAUCCAGCCAUGCCGCGUGAGUGAAGAAGGCCUUCGGGUUGUAAAGCUCUUUCGGCCGGGAAGAAAUCGCACAGGUUAAUACCCUGUGUGGAUGACGGUACCGGAAUAAGAAGCACCGGCUAACUACGUG
rnacentral:rRNA from 1 species